rnacentral:rRNA from 1 species
AUACGUAUGGGGCAAGCGUUAUCCGGAUUCAUUGGGCGUAAAGCGCGUGUAGGCGGCUUGUUAAGUCAGAUGUGAAAACCGGGGGCUUAACCCGCGGCGUGCAUCUGAAACUGGCAGGCUUGAGUCUGGUAGAGGAAAGUGGAAUUCCUAGUGUAGCGGUGAAAUGCGCAGAUAUUAGGAGGAACACCAGUGGCGAAGGCGGCUUUCUGGGCCACGACUGACGCUGAGACGCGAAAGCUAGGGGAGCAAACAGGAUUAGAUACCCGAGUAGUCC